AGUCUUAUAUUCAAAUUAAUGAUUUUAAAUUGCAAAUUUAAAGGAGGAGGAAUCCUAAGGCUU
rnacentral:tRNA from 1 species